rnacentral:rRNA from 1 species
UGCUUCAUUAAUACCACCCUGAAGGCACCUGUCUCCUCUGAUCUUGGACGCUAAGCAGGGUCAGGCCUAGUUAGUACUUGGAUGGGAAAGCUCUUGCAUCUUAAGAAAAGUUCCAA